UCUUACGACUCAUUUAUUAUAAAAAAUAGACUAUCAUUACAGGAACAACAUGAUCAGUACAGGAACUAAAGAAAUAUUACAAUAAAAUAGCAGUAAAAGUUGCCUGGCGCCUGAAAAAUAUGCAUAGGCCCAAUGCCAUCAAAUAUGUAAAAAAAUAUAUACAAUAGAGAAUCAAUUCAACAUUUAAAAGUUGUUAAAAAUAUAUUGUCAAUCUAUAAAGAAAAAUAGAAUGUACAGCUAAAGACAAUGAAAUUCCAUGCACAGCAAUCAGUGCUAUUUUCAAGUUAAAUUGUGGUUGUAAUUACAAGACUCAAAUUCUACCUGCUACGUCAGGGUCAAGGACUAUAACAAACCUCUGUAUGAACAACCAUUUACAAUGUGUGAUGUCAGUCACAUACAAUGCUGUGUACUUAAGUAGCUACAGUAUAUAGGUAUCUUACCUUGAGGUUGAAUGACUGACAUAAGAGUACAUCAUUGAUGCAAGCCGUUGCUACUUAACACAACCUGAGAAUAUAUCUUUCAAAGUCCUUCGUUGACAUCAUGUAUUACAGUGUGUUUACAUAAUUGUCUCCUAGUCAGCUGACAUGAGCUUCCAUUUGGACCCAAAUUAAAGAUGGCUGCCGUGCAUCAUCAGUAACAAGCUGUCCGAAGGUCGUGCCCAAAGUAAAGAUGGUUGCUGUGCAACACCCGUAGCAACCUGUCUUAGGUUGGUGCCAAAAGUAAAGAUGGCUGCCGUGCAACAUCACUAAUAACCCAUCUGAGGGGGGUGUGCACGUCUGAUGGUGGUGCGCAUGUCUUCAUAGACAUCGCUACUCUUGCCCUGUGUUGGUCUAAUCGUUGCACGCCAUGCCUUUAACUGGGAAGACAAGAGAUCUUGGUCAGAAAAUGACUAUUAGUACGCUAUGUUAUUAACAUUUAACUGACACUCUUAUCCAGAGCGACUUACAGGAGUAAUUAGGGUUAAGCGCCUUGCUCAAGAGCACAGCAACACAUUUUUCACCAAGUC
ensembl:lncRNA